rnacentral:rRNA from 1 species
UACGAAGGGGGCUAGCGUUGCUCGGAAUUACUGGGCGUAAAGCGCACGUAGGCGGCUUUCUAAGUCGGGGGUGAAAUCCUGGAGCUCAACUCCAGAACUGCCUUCGAUACUGGAGAGCUCGAGUCCGGGAGAGGUGAGUGGAACUGCGAGUGUAGAGGUGAAAUUCGUAGAUAUUCGCAAGAACACCAGUGGCGAAGGCGGCUCACUGGCCCGGUACUGACGCUGAGGUGCGAAAGCGUGGGGGAGCAAACAGG